ensembl:lncRNA
GAGGUGGGCCUGACUGCCUGUCCAGAGAGAGAGGGAGAAAUGGGGCAGGUGCUUCGGUGCAGCAACGGCCAAUUGCAGGGUAGAGGGCAGGGCUGGUCAGGGGGAGGGUAUCAAAACCAGAAUUGUAUUUAAGGCGUGGGCAAACACUGGAGAUGUCUACUUGUGCUGUGCCCCUGUCCAGUCGGCCAGUUUCUCUCUCUCUCUCCUUGUCUUUCUGUCUGUCUGCCUGUUUUUCUCUCUGCCGGACCAGGUCUCCUCCACCAUGCUGGUAAAAGCUCUCCUUCAGACCUCGCUGGUCCUAUGGCUGGCACAGCACACACUACAAGGAGGAGUGAAACCUCAAAGUGGCGGUAUGGGAAAAAUGCUACCCAGGGGUAAGUGCAAUUAUUAGUCUCUGUAUGUCUGUCUGUCUGUCUCCCCCACCCCACAUCUCUCUCUCUCUCUCUCUGUAUGUCUGUCUGUCUGUCUUUCUCCCCCACCCCACAUCUCUCUCUCUCUCUCUCUCUCUCUCUCUCUCUCUCUCUCUCCUCUCUCCUCUCUCCUUACACUGCUGUGCUAUGGUGCUCACUGAUCACUGAUGUCUCACAUCUCCCUGUGGAACUUCCACCAACAAUCAGCCCCUAACAGAUUCUGUCUUAUCUCAGGACUGCACUCAAUUGACCCGUCUUGAGCAUGGUCUAAACUCAUUUGCUCAACUAAAUAUAGCUUCUGCUUAAGUUGUCUGGCAUUUUUAGAAUUAAUUAUAAACGGAAAGUGGUGAGAAAUCUGACUUAGAUUCUGUCUUGCAAUGCUCAUCCUCCAUAUUAAUGAUUUAAUAUAGACUCGUGAUACAACGUUUAGAUUUUUUUCCCACCAUAGAGAAACAUGCUCCACUAUGGUGCAUCACUGAUCACUGACGUCUCACAUCUCCCUGUGGUGUCUUGUGGUCUUCCAGGGGCUGGUGCUCUUGGGAUACAGGGAGGCUAUGGAGCCAAGCCCGCCAAAACCGGAGGAGCUGGGGGUAAUAUUGAUUGAUUGCCAUAUUUAUAUUUUUAGUGCUGCCAAUCAUCAUUUGUGAUUUAAUUUAUGUACCAUCAUGACCUGUCUUUCUAAUGAAUCACAGGUGGUCGUUAUCCAGGGGGGGCUCAGCAGCUUGGAGGAGGUGAGUUUCUCAAAGAUAGAGCUAAACCACGUACACUGAGUCUACUGUACCAAACAUUAGGAACCCCCCCCCGCCCUAAAUUCACCUGGACAUGGACUCUACAAGGUGUUCAAAGUGUUCCACAGGGAUGCUGGCCCAUGUUGACUCCAAUGUUUCCUACAGUUGUGUCAAGUUGGCUGGAUGUCUUUUGGGUGGUGGACCAUUCUUGAUAAACACGGCAAACUGUUGAGCAUGAAAAACCCAGCAGCGUUGCCGUUCUUGACACAAAUCGGUGUGCCUGGCACCUACUACUACCCUGUUCAAAGGCACUUCAAUCUUUUGUCUUGCCCAUUCACCCUCUGAAAGGCACACAUACACAAUCCAUGUCUCAAGGCUUAAAAACCAUUAUUUAACCUUCAUCUACACUGAUUGAAGUGACUUUAACAAGUGACAUCCCUAAGGGAUCAUAAACUGACCAGGUGAAUCCAGGUAAAGGCUGUGUCAGGUGUUCUUAAUGUUUUGUAUUCUCACUGUAAGUAUUCUCUGUUUGAUUCAGCUUGUGUCUAUCUACUCUGUUCAAUGUGUUAUUUGUGUGUAUCAAUAUGUGACAUGUCUCCACUGUCUUUCCCAAAGGGGGAUACAGAGGCCCAGGAGGGGCCGGGGGUAGGGGAGGAUAUGGUAACGGAGGCCAGGGAGGCUAUGGUAAUGUCUACUACUUUACUUAACAAACAGGCUUGUUAAGAUGAAAUGUCUUAGUAACUUAGGUUUAAAUGAAAUCCACAAUGGUUAUAUGCCAAAAAUGUCUAACUCUUGCAGCAGUUUUCCUUGUUGAUUUAAAUAUUCACUCAUUUAUUUUAAUAAAUGUCUACAUUAUAUGACUUCUUCCCAUUUGUCUGAUUGGAGGUGCUGGUCUGG